rnacentral:lncRNA from 1 species
GGCGGCCAUCUUGGUUGGUUGGCCAGGUCACGGGACACAAUUUUUUAACAAGAUACCCCAAUGAUGAUUGUGGUCAAGUUUGGUUUAAUUUGGCCCAGUAGUUUCAGAGGAGAAGAUUUUUGUAAAAGAUGACUAAGAUUUACGAAAAAUGGUUAAAAAUUGACUAUUAAGGGCAAUAACUCCUAAAGGGGUCAACAGACCAUUUUGGUCCUGUUGACUUAUUUGUAGAUCUUACUUUACUGAACAUUUUUGCUGUUUACAGUUUAUCUCUAUCUAUGAUAAUAUUCAAGAUAAUAACCAAAAACAGCAAAAUUUCCUUAAAAUUACCAAUUCAGGGGCAGCAACCUAUCAACGGGUUGUCUGAUUCAUCUCAAAAUUUC